UACGUAGGGUGCAAGCGUUGUCCGGAAUUAUUGGGCGUAAAGAGCUCGUAGGCGGUUUGUCGCGUCGAAUGUGAAAACCCGGGGCUCAACCCCGGGCCUGCAGUGGAUACGGGCAGACUAGAGGUAGGUAGGGGAGAAUGGAAUUCCCGGUGUAGCGGUGAAAUGCGCAGAUAUCGGGAGGAACACCGGUGGCGAAGGCGGUUCUCUGGGCCUUACCUGACGCUGAGGAGCGAAAGCGUGGGGAGCGAACAGG
rnacentral:rRNA from 1 species